GAUGAACGCUGGCGGCGUGCCUAAUACAUGCAAGUCGAGCGGACAGACGAGGAGCUUGCUCCUCUGACGUUAGCGGCGGACGGGUGAGUAACACGUGGAUAACCUACCUAUAAGACUGGGAUAACUUCGUGAAACCGGAGCUAAUACCGGAUAAUAUAUUGAACCGCAUGGUUCAAUAGUGAAAGACGGUUUUGCUGUCACUUAUAGAUGGAUCCGCGCCGCAUUAGCUAGUUGGUAAGGUAACGGCUUACCAAGGCAACGAUGCGUAGCCGACCUGACAGGGUGAUCGGCCACACUGGAACUGAGACACGGUCCAGACUCCUACGGGAGGCAGCAGUAGGGAAUCUUCCGCAAUGGGCGAAAGCUUGACGGAGCAACGCCGCGUGAGUGAUGAAGGUCUUCGGAUCGUAAAACUCUGUUAUUAGGGAAGAACAAAUGUGUAAGUAACUAUGCACGUCUUGACGGUACCUAAUCAGAAAGCCACGGCUAACUACGUG
rnacentral:rRNA from 1 species